ACCUGUAAUUGCAGUACAUUUUCUUACAUACCUUGUUGUGUAUGCAAAACUAAAUAAGUCAAUUCAAGUUGCGUUUAUGUUCUGUGAGAUGUUGACCAGUUGUACGAUUAAAUAUGCUUUGCAGUAUGUCAGGUCUUUGAGUAUUCCAAAUGCUGAAGGUUCUGAAAGUUUGGAUGAGAAUAUGUCAGCUAAGAAGAGGAGAAUAUCUGUAAGUACAGAGGAGGAACUUGGCAACAGUUUGGAGAGGAAAGAUGCGGCCGAGGACUUUGGAGAACCUGGUAAUAGUUUAAGUCUGGUAUUUUAGUUUAUACACAUGCUCGUACAGAUAAAUUAACAUGUAUGACGACCUGCAAAUCUACAAAAAAAUUAAGAGGGUGGGGAUUUGUCUGUAAGAACAGGUAAUACGACUUGUAGGCAUGAAAAAAUAAGAACAAGUUUAUUAAAACAACUAGAGCCAGAAUCUAAUGGAAGAUUCUGAAGUUUUUUUGUCAGUGGCUGUUUGGCUUCUUUACCUUUUGGUUCUGAGCCUGAGACUCCACAACUAGAGCAAAUUUUGCACCAGGGCAUGUCCAUGUCCUGCUUGGCAUGGUUAUAUUUUUUAUGGCUAGAUUGAGUGCUGUGACCGGCUUGAUUGAGAAAUUCAUCUUCACGGGCUUAAGAAGAGGGCAACAAGCAUUGAUGGUCAACUUCACUGGCCUGCUCAUCCUCCUCUUUGGAGUAUCUGUUGGCUUCACUGUUCUUCUUCCAAGAAGUUAUUAAAGAAGUAGUCAUUGGAAAAUCUUGUAAUGUUUGGUUAUAUUUAUAUAUAGUUUGGCCCAAUAUUGCAGCUAGACUAAACAUUUUGUUAGAGUAAUGAUUCCCAUGUUUGUUACAAGUGUUCUGAGUAUUUGAAUAGUAUAUUUGGUCAAAUAGUUCUUUUAAAACCUGCAUUUUAUGCAUGAGAUUUGUGACAUUGGCAUAUGAACUUUAUUGGGACUAUUGGAGCAGGAAAAUGGCCAUAAGUGCAGGUUUGAAAAUAAGCUACUAGCUAGUAGAUCAAGUUGAUGGUUUGAACAACAAAAUCUUGCCCCCUUCAAUCUGCAAUUUGGCUAUGUCAAAUCAGUAAAACUGUCAAGUUAAUUCUGAAAAUUUCUUAAAGCUCUAUAAAAAUGCUGGUAUACAAUAAUCAGUUUGUGUACUGGUCAGUGAAAACUCAGGUCUCAAAAGAGCUCAAUCAGAUGAACAGAACUAUGCCUGUGUAUCUCAAUACAUGACAAAAAUUUAUUAUGUGUUUCAUAGAGUUAAUUGAAAAGUAUGAGUAUUUUUCUAGGUAUUUUUGAAAUCUAGGAAAUAUGGAGUUUUUUGUAUGAUACGUGAGAACGAGUCUUAUAUAAGUACAUUACAAAUGCCUGCUAACUAGGACUAAGAGAAAACAAAAUGAACAAACUAAUAUCUUCAAAUCAUUUGCCCGUAUUACAUCCCUUCUUUCUUCAAGUAUACUCUACCAGAAAAAAAUCAAUUCAGAUUAAUAUCCUACCCCUAUUUUUUUCCACUAAUUGCCCAAAUAAAUUAGUGUGGAUAUAACAAAAUGGUUGAUUAUUGUAGAAUAUAAUAAGAUGUUUCCACCACUUGUAAAACCUACCAAAGAUAUCCAUAUUCUAAAUUUCAAAUUUUUGCCUACUAAGCAUUUCAUCAUACUAAAAGAAAAAAUCACUAGGCAUUUCAUCAUACGGAGGGUGCUAUAUUUGUUCAUAUUACUCGACAAUCAAGAUUAACAUGAUAGUUUUUUCUAGUCAAUUAGAUCUUUGUAGAAAUUGCUAUGUAUUAAAAGUAGGGGAAAAAAUGAGGUAAAGAACUAGUUUUGUACCAUGGAAGUUCGCGUGCAUUAAACAUAUAAUUCAAAAAUGUGUUUACUCAGAAAUAUAAAAUUACCUUUGGUCAUGGACAGCCGAUUGAAGUUUGGGAUCAUUUGCCACCAUUAACCUCAUUUGUGCAUUAGCUCAAUAGAUAUAUUGUAGAGUGAACCCAAAGGCAACUCUUCCAUCAGUUUUACUUUACAUGGCCUGUGGUAUCUGAAUCGCAUGAAAUGAAAAACAUGUUCCAAACUGUGUUCAUCGCAACCCUGUCAAGUUUCUGUGUUGUGAUAAUGACAAAGAAUUGCUUAGAGUUAUUUACUUCAAAAAUCGAGGGAGGAUUCAAAUUCGAUUUUGGAAAACAUCGAUCCCAGCAUUAAUGGCGUGUUUUCAAUCACAUUGCUUGGCCCUUUGGGGUAAAAUCAGAUGAAGAUCUUACAUCAUGAUGAAAUGGAGUUUAUACAUUUCAAGUCCAAGAACACAAGCACCAUAACAAGUAUAGUUGGCCGUUGUUGCAGAAGUACUACAACAAGUACAGCUAAAACAAACGACCAAAGGAAACAACAAUUUGCAACCAAAAACAAAACAUAUCAAACACAGGAAGAACGAAGAGAAAUGCCAAAGGUGAUGAAGGCAAAAACUCAAAAGACCACGUAAAUGCCAAAACAUGAAAAGGAAUGAUCAUAAUUUCCAAGAGGAUUGAAAAAGUAGAAGCCAUGAGAACUCCUUACUUUUGCGAAAUCCCUUAUUUUGCCAUGACAACCUUCAAGUCUGGACUUUGGACUUCAAAAGGUGUUAUACAUCCAAACUAAUUUCACUAACUGCUUCAUACACUUCAAAAUUAACUUAAUGAAGACUGCCUUCUCUGUUUUACUUAACCAGAGCAAGUUUGAUGGAGCCAACUAUAAAAAACUAUUUCGAGGAAUUGAAGGUGAUUGUAGCUAUUUCAUGAUAUGAUUUGAUACAAAUGUAGUAAGCAGUAGAAAGGAAAAAGUAAACGAGAACUCAAUGAAAUAAAGGGAAAAGCUAGUAAGCAACCUGAGACUUAUACAAGAGAUGAGUUGACUGAAUAUCAAUUAAUGUUGAAAGCUGCAAAGAGUUGUCUCUUAGCUUCUCUUCUCUUAGAGGAACAUGCCUUCCCAAUGACCAUCAAUCCAGUGACCAGUGAAAACUUGAGGGAUAUGAGAAAUUGUCUGAUAAUCUUCACUUUGUUGAUCUAAAUUUUGUACUUUCUGCAUUAGCUCAUCAGACAUAUCAAAGAACCCAAGAAAUUGAAGUCCGGUCAAGUUUUGGAUGCCUGAAGGCAACUCCUGCAUCAGUUUACAACCCAUUAAUUGCAGAUUUCUGAGAGUAGCCAUUGAUUCCUCUUCCACUCUCACCCAUUUCAGUCUUGUUAAUUGCACAAGCUCUAAGUGCUGGAGUUUUUGAAAUCCUCCAACCUCGAAACACAGUGUCUCCCCUUCAUAAGCACGAUAGAGAGUAAGUGAUACCAGAUUGGGCAAAUGUCCGAGGGAGCCUGUUACAUUCUCAUCUUCUCUCAACCUACUAUUGUCCAACUGUAAGAUUCUCAAGGAUUGAAGUGAUGUCACCCAUUGCGGUACUCUCUCUAAACGCCCCUUCAACAACAGAGAUGUGAGGAAUCCAAGUUUUGGAGAGACGGAAUGUUGGAGAUCAAGGAUCUCAUCUUCUUUAAUACAGGAGAUGACCAAUUCUCGAAGGUUGGUCAGCCUCAAGAGGCAGGACAGCAACUCUUUUCCAUCUUCUCUUCUCAGCUUUGUGAUGGCUAAUCGUCGCAAUUGCGUUAGCUUUCCAAUCUCCCUUACUAUUUUAUCACUGUCUGCUUCUAUACCAAACAAAUCCUCCAAACAAACAAGCUUUCCAAUUCCAUCUGGAGAUUUGCAGCCCCAAACUGCAUACUCAUUUGAAUAAUCACCCACUCCACCUAAGCAAAGACAACGGAGUUUUCUUAGAUUUAGAAUAUCCGCAGGCAACUCUGUUACAUUCGUUCCUAUCAGAUCUAUAGCUUCAAGGUUUUGAAGCUUCCCAAUAGAUUUUGGAAUAAUUUUAACUCCAGUUCCACUGAGAUUAAGAUACCUGAGAUGAAAUAGUUUGAAGACUUGCUUUGGGAUGUUGUCCAAUUCAGCUCCAUGCAAAUCCAACACCUUUAGCAACUUGGGAUCACCACUUAAGAACUCGGAUAAAAAUGUAGUUGUGAAAGGAUCUUCAUACCCAAAUAUUGCCACAGACCGAAGACACUUUAAGCGACUAAAUUCUUGUGGAUUAUCAGUGAAGUUGUGGAUUGCUAGGUGUCGAACUUUUGUAGGCCAUCUUGUGUAAUAUCUGGUGGCCACAGUCGUGAAGUCCUGCUCUUUGGAUUUUGAAACAAUGAUUUCACGCAGAAAAUCAUGGAGACCACAUGUUUCCAAUCUGCCAUCGGCAAAUGAGGAUUUAACUUGGAUUAAGCUUCUGUUGAUGAGUUCUUUCAUAUAUCUCAUAGCAAUAUCAGUGGAUGUUAUUCUUUCUUUCUCUUCUACAAAUCCUAGUGCAAUCCAUUUCAGAAGUAUAUCAUCCACAUCAAUUGGAUAAUCUUCAGGGUAGAUGCUUAGAUAUAAUAGGCAGCUUUUAAGAUAGUAAGGCAAAUCAUUGUAGCUAAGUAAGAGUACCCUUUUGAUCCUGUCAAGCUUACCACUGCCAUCUGCCUCGCCGCCAAAACCAUGAAGAAUCAUCUCCCAUUCAUCUGUCUUUUCCAUGUCCUUCAGAGCCAAAACAACACCUAUUGCAACAAUUGCAAGCGGUAGGCCCUCACAUUUUUUCAAUAUUUUUUUAGCAACUUCUUCUAGAUUUGGAGGACAGUCAUUGCUCUGAAAUGUUCUAUUGCAAAACAGAGUCCAAGACUCUUUAUCAGAAAGAGGCUCCAUCUUAUAGACGAAGUCAAGUGAUCCUAAACAGGACGCAGAAGCUACAUCAGCUAUUCGUGUUGUCAACACAACACGACUAGUGAUAUUGCAGUCAGGCAAUACACAUUUGACAGCUUCCCAGGCAUCUAUACUCCACACAUCAUCAAGGACAAGAAUGUACCUUCUUUCUUGGAGGAAGUCUCUGACAAAUUCACUCAGCGUAAGAACAUCCAUGGAUUCCACUUGGGGAGGGACCGGCUGUCUGAUUUCGUUGUACAAUUGUUGGAUCAGGUUCUUGAUGAUGACGCUGAACUGAAAAUUUCGAGAAACAGUUAUCCAGGCAUGGCUCUGAAAUUGUUUCUUCACUGCAGCAUCAUCAUAGACUUUUUUCACCAGGGUAGUCUUCCCGAGUCCCCCCAUUCCCACAACCGAAACUACUUUCAAUUAGGAAUGGUCAUCAAGGAUUUUUUAGAUGAGCUCUGCUUUUGGCUUAUCAAUCCCAACAAGUUGAGCUUCUUCAAUGAAGAGUGAUUGAGCACGAAUGUCAAAAUCUGCAUUCACCUGACGGGAAGAGCUGAAGCCGCUUUCUUGAGUACCAUAUAGGGACUGGUACCUCUGAUGCCUUGCUGAAAUCUCUCCAACUCUGGCCUUGAUGUCUUUUAUCUCCAAAGAAAUUUGAUGGCGAGCUUUCAGAUUCUUCAUUGAGUUAUAGAUCUUUCCAACCUUGCCACAGAAUCCAUCCAUGUAACCACGAGCAAAGCGGAAGGUAAAAUCAUCGAGACCAUCCUCUGUAUCAUAAGCAACUUCUCGAACCUGCUUUAGCCAUUCUUGGAGUUGAGAAUCAUUAUUGUCUUCCUUUGCUUCAGCUUCUCUGAGGAAAGACUUCAUGCUCCCGAGUUCAUCUUUGAUGAAUUGAACAUCUGAUUUAAGCCCCCCCAAAAGUGUGAUCUCUUGGGAAAGCAAGGUUGAGAGCUGGUUAAUCAAUAAACCUACGACACUCUCUGCCAUAAUGCUCAGUCAAAUUUCUCAAGAAUCAGUUUUCUUAUCAAAAAAAUUAUGAGAGUUGUUCCAAAUUUCAGAAACUAUGCUGUUUUUCUUUUUCUUUCUUUCUUUUGUAGUAUAGAGGAUGCGGUUUAUAUGAGCUAGCAAAUUCUAGAAUUAUAUGAAUUUGAAAGAAUAGCUGUUCAAGAAUGAUAUUAAUUUGGGAACGUAUGCUUUUUUUCCCUUUGUGGUAUAAACAAGGAGUCUUAUUUGGCAUUUUGGUAGUACAAAUCAAAAGUCAUUGUAGUCAAAAAGUGGGAUGUAAGUCUACUCAAAAGAAAAAGUAUACAGAGCAUAACCUAAAAAAAUAGGUAAAGAAUAACUAUUCUCUUGGGCUAAGAAAGGCAUAGAGAAAAUUUUGGAUUUCUUUUGAUUGUUUAAAUUGGAAAGGAAGGCAUUUGUCAUGUGGAAUCUAACAAUCUUCAGAUAAUGUUCAGCUCCCUUCUAAUGUUUUCUUCAUUUGCUCCAAAAAGAAAUGGCUAGCUAUGAUUCUAAGUAAAACUAAUGGAUAGGAAAAAAAAUAUAUGUUGUCCCUAAGAUCCAACUUACUUUGGUAUGGAUGAUAAUCAUGUAAAGGUAAAGGCCUUGAUUUGUCUCUUAUGCCCGAAGAUCGUUCUUGAAAUUGACACUUUGGUAAAACUUGCAAAGUAACAUAAAUUCAUUAUAACGAAACAAAGAAAGAUUUGCCUACCUGCAACGAAAGCAUAUUGAGCAUAACCUAAGAAAUGGGCCAAGUUUAUUAGAAUACACAUAUUCUCAUGCUAAGAAAGGCAAUGACAAAAUUUUGAUUAGUUAACUUGGAAAGCAAGGUAUUUGUCAUAGUCAAUCUAACAAUAUUCUUGAGAAAUGUUCAACUCCGCUUCUAAGUUGUUUUUGAAUGGCUUCCAAACGUGUAGCUAAUAUGCUAAAUAAAACCGGCUGAAAAGAAAAGGUUGACAUGAAAAGACGAUCGACAAAUUAUGAGGAUUUUAGCAUGAUAAUAACCACAUCAUAUUUCAUUUCAAAUGCCAAUGGAGAUUGGAAACUGAAAUAUUUGGAGUGUAUUUAGUAAAACAUCUAUAGGCAGUUGCAGAAAAACUUGUAUACAAGAACGUGCUUUUUUGCAGAAAGUCCCCCCCCCCUCCUUCUCUCUAUUUCAUAUAUAAUCACAUAACCAUAUAAAUCUAUAUAGUUUUAUAUAAAAUGGAAAUUGAGAAGAAAAUAACUCCAAUCAUAACAAAUGACCUAAAUGCGCUCCAGGAACGCGUGUCAUGGGUUAGUUAUGCCUGUCAAUGGAUUAAACCAAUUUAAUUUUGCCCGUCAAUUAUUGAAAUGUUUCCUCAAUUGUUCUAUAUUUGCCUAAAAUCACAAAUUUUAUGGAGAAGAUUUUUUUUUUUGUCAAAAUAUUAAGGAUCGUUUUGGUGAGCAAGCUAAACAUUAGGAAUCAAAACUGCGUUUCUUCCUUAUUUCACUAUCUCUUCUUUGAUUUUCUCAAAAGAAUCAACCUUUUGAAUUGAUUUUUUAAACAAUGGUAAACAUACCUCUUGAACUUAUUUUUUCUUUGUUUACAUGCGAAGAAAGAACUUCAUUUAAAAAAUGGAAAGAAGAGAAUAUGUUUGAAUAACUUCCAUUCAUGUCAGGCUUAAAUUCUUUUCAUCAAUUUUUUGAACUACCAAUCUCAAUUACAAAGAAAAUGUUUCUUCAUUAAACCCUACUAAAACUUGCGUACCUAUAGCCUCAAAAGUAAUCGAACUAAAUCUUUUUAGCAGAAUCAUGACUUAUGAUGCACAGAAAGAAACCCAAUAAUCAAGAACGCAUGAACACAUUGUAAAUCCCAACUAAUCAAAAUCUAGUAGAGUUUUAACUACAGGUUCAAUACUUACAAUGCAAACAAUAAGACGAACCUAAAAACAACCCUUCAUAUUGUGUAACAAAGUGGUGCCUAUUGGAGUUCUCUUAAUAGCAACAAAUGAGAGAAGGAAAGUUGAAACCAUUCUUUUCCAAAUUUUGGAGUUUUCAAAAGGCAAAUAAUAUUACCAUUCGUGAAAAAAAAGGCCUCACACACUCUUUCUCUUCUUUUUAUUGUGUAAAAAGGCAAUGUAGCCCAUUUAUCAUUGUGCCUAUUUGUUAACUACUGUAAUUGUCCUAAGGCUUCACAGUUGCUAUAAAAGAGUUCCUUUGCCUCUUUCUUCACGACCAAAACCGUUCUUUCCCUACCAUUGUACAUUUUCUAGCAAUGGCAAAAGAUUAAAAUUGCAAGGGCCUACUAGAUCACAUGAAACUGGAGGAAAUCAAUGAUAUUUGAAAACCACAAGUCUGGAAGAAUUCUUGAAUUUUGUCAAUUGCUUUUAUCUUCCAUAGGUAAUAUUUUUAAAGAUUGCUCUUUUUCAUUAUUUUGUUUGUUUUAUUAGAAACAUGAUGUUACAAGUUUGAACAUAACAAUUCAAUAUUUUGAUUAGAGAUUUUUUUUUGGAUAGUUUAAGUUAUCAAAAAUAAUAUAUUUGCAGAAAAGAGGUCAAUUUGCAAUAGUAUGCCAAUAUACUGGCUUUUUUUGGAUUGCCAUUCUCUGGACAAAAUUUUCAUGUUUUUUGGGAAUAUUUCCUUGAUACAUUUUUCAAUGAACUUUUUAUUUUAUAUAUAUCAUAUCUAAAAAAGUAUUACAAUAUACCCUUCCAAAAAAUGCAAUCCAAACAAUAUACUUCCAUGAUCAAUCAUAGUAGUAUUGCGAUUAGAACCUUUUUCUUUACAAUUAGAAUAAAAAACUAAAAAAGAAAAAUAGAACCUAGACAACAAAAUCGAUUAUGUGACUUGACUUUCAAGAUUACUUGAAAUAAUUCUAAUCUAGGUGAAGAUAACUUGUAGUAUUUUGGGUAAUUUUUUUCAGAGGUCAAAAGGCUGUUUGGGUACAAAGGAAUAUGAGUACUAAGCUAUAGGUUUAAAUUUAAUUUCAUUUAAAUCAAAAGAAGGGAAGGAUUUAGGCCUGUCAAUUGGGCUAUUUGAAUCGAGGUUUAACAAACUCAAGUUCACUUUUAUAGUUAGUAGUUAGUACCACUUUUGGAUUUCGAAUUAUGAGUUUUGGAUUGAUAAAUAUGAAACUCGUACUUGACUCACAAAAUAUUGAGAUUGUGAGUUUAAUUCGGACUUAACUCAAACUCACUUAUAACUCCUUAAUUUCCAUAAUGUAAUUACUAUAAUUAUUAAGUUUUAAACUAAUUUAAUAUCCAUAGGACCACAACAUUAAAACUAUACAAGAAUCGGUAACAACUCAUUAAAAAGUAUAUAAACCAAGAAUUUUGCAACAAUAAUAUAUCCAAUUAAUUCAAUGUACAUGGAAAAUAGAAAUAAAACAUGAUCAAUAGUUAAUAUAUCUUCAAAGGUCCUCAAUUUGCUCAUACUAAGAUUUAUCCUUCUAAAUCUUUUGACAUAAUUUUGUAUAUGUAAUAGUCGUGUAUAUAUAUAUAUAUAUAUAUAUAUAUAUUAAUAUAUUUUGACAAAUAACUCAUAAGUAUUAGUAUUAUAUAAUUAGAUAUAUAAUUAUAUAUAUCAAAAUAUGAAUAUUAUAUACAUAUAUAUAUAUAUGCAUAUUAAAGGGUCGAGCCUAUAUGGAGUUUGACCCUAAUAAGGCCCAAACUCUGCUCACAUUUAAUUUGAAACUAAUAUUUAGAUCCAAUUUCAAUCCAACUCAAUGACAGUAAGACUCAUUAGACUUUUUCUCGGAGCCGAGUUCAAACUGACUCAACUCCAUUGAUAGUCCUAGAAGGAUUGCCCCAUUGAUAGUCCUAGAAGGAUUGACUCAGCCCCAUUAGUGGCAUGAAUAAAUGAAGUAAAAAAUAAAAAAGUUUGAUUAGAAUUGCUAGUACCAAUUUAAGACAAUUGCGUUGUGAUUCGCGUCUUAUUUUGUCCUAAUACCCUCAAUAUCACUAUGUGAAAACUUAAGCAACUAAAAUGAUUAAAAUUUCAAUCCAAAAGUACAAAGUCAAAAUUGUUAAAUAACAAUAAUUAAAUUUUGACUAUUAGUCAUUGUUGAGUUUUCGUCAUUGUAGAAUGUACCUACUACCAAAAACUUUGAGAACCAAAUUUAUUUUGAUCAGAACAUUAAAGACUAAUUUAGCACUUAAUCUAAAAAUUGGAGACUAAAACUACAAUUCUCCCUUUUUCCAAAAGAAAAAUCUACACCUUUUUUUGGUUUUAUUUUUGUGCACACAUGUGAUUUUUUUCACCUUUGAUACCACAUAAUGGUCCAAACCGACUGACAUCGGUUAAUAGAUUCAAUUGUCAAAAUGACUUUGUAAAUUGUGAGGCUGGUAAUAUGUAGAAAAAUUUUGUUUGUUAGAAUUUGGGUAAAAGGAUAGUGCAUUUGGUAAAAUUAAAGUUUGAAAAUUGAAGUUUGAAGUCUGAAUUCCAUUAAAUUAAGUUGUUGAAUUGUUAAGUAUUAACUCCUAUUUAAUAACUCAAUUUAACACUUAAAGUUAAUGGAUUUAGAUAUAAACAUGUUCAAACGCAUUUGAUAACCAAAAAAUUGUACAUCUGAAUUAAUUAAAUGACACUGAAUUUUCUAGGCAAAAUUGGGUUCGAAAAAUAAAAUGACACUAAAUUUCCAGGUAAAACUUGCUCCAAAAAAUAGGUGAUAAGUUAUUCAUUUAUCACUUAAUGUGAUAUACAUUCAAAUGUAUUACAUUUAGUACUUAACAAUUCAAUAAAUUAAUAGAUUCAGACUUUAAAUUUAAUAUUUCAUUUUGAUAUACACUCAAAUGUGUCACAUUUAGUACUUCGCAAUUUAAUAGCUUAUCUGAUUCAGACUUCAAAUUUAAUAUUUCAAGUUUUGCGAAAAAAAUUCAAUGCCACUUAGUUAAUUUAGACAUUCUAUUUUUGGUUAUCAAAUACAUCUGAAGAUGUUCAGAUCUGAAUCCAUUAAGUUUAAGUGUUAAAUUGGAUUAUCAAACAAGGCCUAAAUCAUUUAGUAUAAAUCACAUUUUAUCAGUAAAGUAAGUGGAAGAACUAGGGUAUAAAUCCUCAUUUGCCAUACAAAAGAGGGGGCGAAAUAUAAAUAUAAAUAUCCUUUGCCAUACAGAUUGCAAUUCAUUAACUCAAUAAUACUGGGAAUGAAACACCGAUAGACUCAAAAGAGUGGCUGAAAAAUUUGUGACAGCAAAAACAGAAGAAAAAGCAAAAGAAUUGGAACUGAAAACCAAGGAGUAGCUGAAGCCCUGGGAGCAGCACUCUGUUGUGAUCAACAUUCCUCGUUUUGACUACAACGCCUCUUCUUCUCUCCUGAGUCAUUCCCACUCCGGAUUCCUCAUCACCUGCCCCAUCAGUAAGGCCUCUCAUCCCAUCUCUUCUGUCCAGAAAGUUAUGUUUUUUUUGUUAUUUUUGUACUUUAUUGGCAUUUAUUUAUGUAAUUUGCUUCUGGGUUUUUGAAAAUUUUCAAUUUGAUUGUUUGGGAUAGUCCGGGCAGUGUGGUGAUUGAUAAAAAUGCUUCCUUUGUUAUGUAGAGAGGGAGAAAAGUGCAACAAAAGAAGCCAUGUCAAUUUUUGAAAAAGGUAAUGAAUUCUGCUGGUUUUGUCUCUUGUCAGUUCUUUGGAAUAAUGUCACAAUAAGGAAAUUUUAGACAUAAAGAAAAUUCAUGCUGACUUCAGAAUCAGGACAGUUAAAUUGGUUUAGUGAACUUGGUUUUAUGGGAUUCUUAGAUUCUGGGCAAGGUUGGGAACUUGGGGUUUUUGUAAGUGAAUAAGACUGUAGCGGGCUUGAAUUACCUGUGUAAUGUGUUUGCAGCUGUAAUUGUUUUGGUUUAAGAUGAAGAGUAGCAAUUUUAUGGAAUAGAUGUUUGAAUGAUUAAGCAUAAGUAAACAGCAAAUGGGAUGGCAACAAAUUGAUAAACUGAUGAAGUUUGGAGAACUGGGUGAGCUAUGCAGAAGGUAGGCACAGGCAUGUUGUGUUGUUCAAAUGCAAUAGGUGUUGAUGGGGGAAAAACAAACAAACUAAAGUUGUUUACCGUUUUAAACGUGAUAACUUUUUGGAAAUGAAGUGUAAUCCUAAUGGUCUUCAUUUGUGAGAAUAAUGGCAAAAUUAUGCACGCAACAUUAUUUCCAUCUGUUGAACUUAGUCUAGGAAAAACAUUGAUGAUUUUUGGGUUCUAAACUUGAUUAAGAUUUCAGUUUGCAGACAAACAGAAGGAUAAGAUGUCAAUUAUCCUGCCGAUAGGUUUUUAACAUCUGAGUCUAGUAGCUGGCUUCAAAUUUUUUUUCAUAUGCUCUUCCACUUCAUCCAUUUAUUUGUAGCCUGUGCAUUUUUGGGUCACAGAUUAGUAUGGUUUAGUCCUUGUUUACAAGUCUUAUUCAAUAUGUUUUGCUUACACACUGUCAUUUGUCACUUGGUUCAAUCAAGUGACUGCUUAAGUCUGCUGUGCCUUCUUGAGUAAAUGACAUGAUCCGACAUCCAAAAUGCAGCACUGGUUAAUCACUCACAGCUUUCCAGAAUAUAUAUAUAUAUAUAUAUAUGACUUACCAAUUUCCUUGAAUUUGAAGAGGCUUAUGGAUACAUAGUAACCUUAGCUUAAGCUUGAGUACAUAACUGAUACAGGUUAAGCACAAAUUCACCUUACUAAUAUGGAACCUUUGCAUUGUUUUCUUUGAAAAUAAAUCAUAAACAAUAGAUAGAAGAUAUGCAAUAUUUUCUGCCGUAAGAAAAUUUUUUUAAAUAUAAAAGCAAUUUAAUAAGUGUAUCGUUAUAUUUCUCUAAAGAAUGACAUGGUCUUAAGUGAUCAUAUUUCUGGAAGGAGAAGACCAUUAGUCCAAUUUUGUUCGGCAUUUGAGACAUCAGAUAUUAUAUGCAUGAAAUAUAUAGCUGAUUGCCAAUCACCUAUUUUGAGUUCUCAAGAAAUAGAUAUAUAAGCUUCAGUUUGCUUUUAAUAUCAAAAAGGCAUUCUCCAUUGCAGCAGCUUUAGAUAAUUGUCUUUCAUUCAUACCUAAAGGGACUUGUAUAGGCAUGAGAUGUUGCACUCUUCUAGGGCCCAAAUAAUAAGUGGACAAUUUAGAGUUAGUUUAAAAUCUUGUGGCAGACAACUUGUUUGGAAUUGUUUUUGGAUAUAUUUACACCAGAGGCCAAGCGUUGCUGAGGCUUAUCACUAUGUGAAAGAAAUGAAUGAGUUUCAGUUAUAUUUGAAGUCCUCUCCAAAGCCUGUAUCGUUUUUAUUUCUUGGACCUCUCUCGUUGCAAAGGGAAGACAAAUGAUAAACCAACUUGGAGAAUGGGGAGGUGUGCAUCUAGUGCUUGCAAGAUUCUAUUCCUUUGACUUCACGGAGUUUUUAUAAAAGCUGUGUGUGCUGAAUGUUUUCUUAGGGCUUCAAACUGAUGUUGAUAUAUUGAUACAUUAUGCGUUCCAUUCGUUUUUUAUGAAUGCCAUCAAUAUUCACGACUGAUGCAACCAAUGAAGAGUUUAAGGGAAGAGUAAAUUUUAAUAUUCUUGGGAACUUGGCUGAAGAUCCAAUUUACCCACUUUGAAGAAUGGGUUAUCUUUUUAGGAUCUAGAUUAUUUAUUAAAAAUUUAAAUUCUACAUAUUUCAGUAGACUUAAAAUUUAUGGUCCUUUAGUAGCUUAUGGGUAUUGGGUAAACUGACAGUGGAGGACACUUCGGCCAUUGUUUGAGACCAUAGGCUUAUUCGUUGACUUUGUUGGAAGGGCUUUUAAUUGGAAUGUUGGGAUUCAUCACCUCAAUUUCCUGUCAUAAGAUAUUCUGGUCCCCAGGGCUGAGCUGAAGCCCAGUACAUAUUGCAUGUACUAUUGUACACACACCCCACAGACCCAGGUUUGUUAGGCCAUCCAUGAAGGAGUUAUUUAAGUUAUUCACUGGUGAAUUUUUUAUGCAUCUUUGUCUUGGAAGUGAUGUCCUAAACCUUUGUGUCAUAUGUGGCUUUCUUCCUGACAUUUUACUCUCAUCUUCCAUUGCAUGUGGUAGUUUCUUUUCCCGUCCUUGAAUAUACACCAAUGUGAAAGUAAGAGUUCAACCUGUCCUCCCCACUGUCAAAUAACAUUCAGUGUUAAAAGCUUGUGUUCAAAUUUUGUGUGAAUGAGUUUGCUGCUAUUAGUUAAAAGAGUUCAGGACGUUUUUACUGAGUCAGAAGCUAUUUUAGUGUACUUCUAAUGGAUUUCAAAAGCUGGGGAAGUGCUUUGUUAUCUGGAAGCAUGCUCUAUGUUGUUGGAAUAUUGAGUUGCUGAAUUUGUGCACUAAAUAGGGCUCUAGGAUACAAUCAGUGCAGAAAAUUAGAACAGAAGUAGGGAAGAAGAAAUUUAGAAACCGUUGCGUCCAUGGGGAUACUAUUUUGUACCAGUUCUCCUUUUCAAACUGCCAACAUAGAGAUCUGAUACAUCACUCCUACAGUGGACAACCUUGCAUAUUCUCCAAAUCUCAUGUUAUUUUCAUAUGCAUCAAUAACUAUCUGUAUUCUUCUACUUCCAUCAGUUGCAGCUAUAGAAGACUUUUAUAUCCUGAUUGCUGAUUGAAACCUGAAGAAUUCCAUGAGAACAGAAAUAUCUGCUACCAAAUCGAACUAUUGACUUUUAAAGAUGAGAAUCCCUCUGAAUCCUCCUAUGGAGAUAAUAGAAUUAUGUGUCAAAUAUAGAUAAUCUUUUCUUACUGGCUAUUCUAUGUAAACUGUUUUCUCUUGGAAAAUAGUGGAGAAAUGAAGUGAGUCUGGCUAGCUGGUGGUGAUCUAUCGUCAUUCUUUACUUUUUCUUUUCAUUAAUUUUUUUUCAAAAUUUGAUUGACUUUUAGCACUUCUGAUCUUAGAACAAUGCUUCUUUCUACAACUUUUUUGCUAACCCGGUUCUAUCUUGAUAGCUGUAUUAAUUUAUGAAAUCUUGGUUAAAAGAGUGACAAUUAGCACAAGGAUAAUCAGAAAUUUAUUGUACAACAGAUGGUCCAGGGGCAGAAUUCUGACAUAAUUGUUUGAUAUGAUUAUUAGUAGAGAAAUUGCAGUUUACUGAAAUGUAAUUCUUGAAGAUAAUAGCCUAUGGCUUUUGUAUACUUAUGCUACUGAACUUGUGCAGAAUCAGCAUGCAUGAUAUUUCUUCACCAUCUUUUCUUUUUUCUUUUUCUUUUUUUUAUAGAUGAUCUGAUUGAUUCAUCCAAUUUCAUAUAUCUGAACUAUCUUAAUGGGAAACCUGCUUGCAUCUAAAAGGUGUAAAGUGUAGAAAUCAGCUUGGUGUCUUGUUACCUGUAAUUGCAGUACAUUUUCUUACAUACCUUGUUGUGUAUGUAAAACUAAAUAAGUCAAUUCAAGUUGCGUUUAUGUUCUGUGAGAUGUUGACCAGUUAUAUGGUUAAAUACUCUCUGCAGUAUUUCAGAUCUUUAAGUGGUCUAAAUGCUGAAGGUUUUGAAAUUUUGGAUGCGAAUAUGUCAGCUAAAGGGAUGAGAAUAUCAGUAAGUACAGAGGAGGAACUUGGCAGCAGUAUGGAGAGGAAAGAUGCAGCCGAUGACUUUGGAGAACCAGGUAACAGUUUAAGUCUGGUAUUUUAGUUUAUACACAUGCUCGUACAGAUAAUGGAAAUUAACAUGUAUAACGACCUGCAAAUCUACAAAGAAAAUGAAGAGGGUGGGGAUUUGUCUGUAAGAACAGGUAAUACGACUUGUAUGCAUGAAAAAAUAAGAACAAGUUUAUUAAAACAACUAGAGCCAGAAUCUAAUGGAAGAUUCUGAACUUUUUUGGUCAGUGGCUGUUUGGCUUCUUUACCUUUUGGUUCUGAGCCAGAGACUCCACAACUAGACUAGAGCAAAUUUUGCACCAUGGCAUGUCCUGCUUGGCAUGGUUAUUUUUUUCAUGGCAAUAUUGACUGCUGUGACCGGCUUGAUUGAGAAAUUCAUCUUCACGGGCUUAAGAAGGGAGCAAGAAGCAUUGAUAGUCAACUUCACUGGCCUGCUCAUCCUCCUCUUUGGAGUAUCUGUUGGCUUCAUUGUUCUUCUUCCAAGAAGUUAUUAAAGUAGUCGUCAUUGGAAAAUCUUGUAAUGUUUGGUUAUAUAUAGUUUGGCCCAAUUUUGCAGCUGGACUAAAACAUUGUUUAAUCUUUUGGCCCAAUAUUGCAUCUCUAGCUAGAGUAAUGAUUCCCAUUUUUGUUACAAGUGCUCUGAGUAUUUGAAUAGUUUAUUUGGUCAAAUAGUUCUUUUAAAGCCUGCAUUUUAUGCA
rnacentral:lncRNA from 1 species